rnacentral:rRNA from 1 species
GACGAACGCUGGCGGCGUGCUUAACACAUGCAAGUCGAACGGAAAGGCCCUGCUUUUGUGGGGUGCUCGAGUGGCGAACGUGUGAGUAACACGUGAGUAACCUGCCCUUUACUUUGGGAUAACUUCAGGAAACUGGGGCUAAUACCUGAUAGGAGCUCCUGCUGCAUGGUGGGGGUUGGACAGUUUCGGCGGUUGGGGAUGGACUCGCGGCUUAUCAGCUUGUUGGUGGGGUAGUGGCUUACCAAGGCUUUGAAGGGUAGCCGGCAUGAGAGGGUGAACGGCGACAUGGGGACUGAGAGACGGCCCAGACGCGUACGGGAGGCAGCAGGGGGGAAUAUUGCACAAUGGGCGGGAGCCUGAUGCAGAAACGCCGCGUGCGGGAUGACGGCCUUCGGGUUGUAAACCGCUGUAGCCUGUGACGAAGCGUGAGUGACGGUAAUGGGUAAAGAAGCACCGGCUAACUACGUG